UCGGAUCUUCUCGGAGCCCCAUCGGUUUGUAUUUUUUGUUCAUGAAAAUUUUACUUGUGUUUUCACGCCCGACCCGGACCGCCCGGUCCGACCUUGAACCGUGACUCGAAUACUUUUUCGGUUUGGGUUUAGUGCUAAAACCCGACAAGUUCAAAACCAUAAAAAUCCACAAAAACUCACCAUUAACUCGUGACUCGGUGAACCGGUUGAACCGACCAGGGAUCGGUUUUACAAAAUUCUCUUGAUUUUAGAAUAAAAUAUGAGAUUUUAGACUUUAUUCAAUCAUUUUUAGAAAAAAUUUCAGUUCUUAAACUCAUUUGAUGAAGACUUCACAAUGCCGCCUUAAAAAUGAAUCGAAUGGUGAGUGAAACAUGCGAUAUUAGUUGUGUGAAUUCACGAUAUUUUGUUAGUUUAUCUCCUACUGGCUACUAGGUUCAAUAAACUUUAGCAACUUUACAAUCAUCAGACAUCAAAACUCAGAUGGUUAAACAAAAGACAUACAAUUUAUGCCAAAGUUUUGAAACUAUAAAACAUGAAUCCUUUGGCAUUAUUUGGCUCAGAGAGGUAGAACAACAUU
rnacentral:sRNA from 1 species